CGCACAUUUCUGACUCACCCGUCUUUACGCAAAGCCGUGUAGAAGUUGGCAGAGCUGAGGUCUGCUGCUGCCAGGAGGCGAGAGGACUCGAAAGGACGGAUGGCUGCGUGCAAGAAGUAGGCAGGACCAGCUGUGGCCUCCGGAAGUGAAAAUGACUUUUUUCAGAGUAAAAGUUGGGAUUGGAUUGUCGAUCUCCUUUGCUUUGUGGACAGGAUUAAUUUUGGUACUGCUGAUUCAGCCUGAGGUCAGCCCAGAUGAUGAUGAUGAUGAUGAUGAUGAUGACGACGAUGAAACCUUCACCACUGUAGAUGCCUUGUUGGACCUAAUAAGGAGCGAGGAACAGCUGAGCCGGCAUCAUUUUUAGGAGGUGUGGCUGAAGGCUCUUCAUCUCUGGGCUCUUACUGAGCCUCACCAUCAGCUGGACUGGCUGCAAUUUGGCUAACAGCUGGUUCCUCUAAAGCUGAGAAAAAUAUAUCGUCAGCUUCUGCUCCAUCAGAUGAGCGAGGCAUGUUUUUCACAACAUCACAGGAGUGAGGAACAGCUGCGUCAGUUAAAUGAGGUGUGGCUGAAGGCUCUUCAUCAUUGGGCUCUCCCUCAGCCUCACCAUUAGGAGAGAGCUCCUCCUAUGUUUAAGGCAAACACUUCAAUCAGGGAUAGUGAAAAAAGGUUUGCAUCAUUAGGUCCUCUCAGCAGUGAGGGGCUGGACACUGUUAAGAUAGGUUAAAAUAACUCUGCUGUAAGUGACAUUUUGUCAGAGUUGGUGUACUCAUGGAUGUGUAUGUAUCCAGAGAUAAACUGUGAUGUCAGCAGUAACUAAUGAAUGUUAAAUGAAUGCAUUGUUUAUUAAUUUGUUUGAUCUGAUGCCUUUUAUCUGUUUGUUUGUUUUCUUUUUUAAUUUCCUGGCAUCCAUUAAUGUUUUACCUAUUUCAUUAAUAAUACCUUUUUGGCAAUUACUCCUGCCCUCCAACCUGCUUCUGUCGUUUCUAUGGGGUGGCAGUGCUGGAGGGCCAUAGAGGUCAAAAGCAGAUAAUAAACAUGUCAUGUAAAAUUAGAGAAUAGUAUCUUACCAUAAAACCCAAAUUACAUGAG